AUUGAACGCUGGCGGCAUGCUUUACACAUGCAAGUCGAACGGUAACAGGCCGCAAGGUGCUGACGAGUGGCGAACGGGUGAGUAAUGCAUCGGAACGUGCCCAGUCGUGGGGGAUAACGCAGCGAAAGCUGCGCUAAUACCGCAUACGAUCUAUGGAUGAAAGCGGGGGACCGUAAGGCCUCGCGCGAUUGGAGCGGCCGAUGUCAGAUUAGGUAGUUGGUGGGGUAAAGGCUCACCAAGCCAACGAUCUGUAGCUGGUCUGAGAGGACGACCGGCCAACCUGGGACUGAGACACGGCCCGGAGUCCUACGGGAGGCAGGAGUGGGGAAUUUUGGACAAUGGGCGCAAGCCUGAUCCAGCAAUGCCGCGUGCAGGAAGAAGGCCUUCGGGUUGUAAACUGCUUUUGUACGGAACGAAACGGCUCAUGCGUGAGAAAUUGACGGUACCUUGAGAAUAAGCACCGGCUAACUACGUGCCAGCAGCCGCCGUAAGAC
rnacentral:rRNA from 1 species